CUUUGUCUUAAUACAGUAGAGAAGGCAUGCAGAGCAAGCCUCCACCGUUAAAAAGCCUAAUGUCGGAGAACAGUUGUGAGCAGCUGUGGAUCUGAGGCCUCUGGAGACAACUGGGGCUUUGGUUAACACUGGCCUCUACGGAGGAGGUGAAGGGUGUCUUGAGACAUGUCUCAAGUCAUGGAGAAGUGUCACAUUAGAAAACAACCGGCCUGAGCCAGCUUCCUGCUCUACUGCUUCAAGCUGGCUUACCUUGAGGGGUUCCACUGACUUAAGUCUGCCAGGCUUCAACCGAGUAAAGUACAAGCAGGCUUGGGCUUGUCCCUGGACACCGCUGCAGUAGUAGCUGCUGCUUCCACUGCCGCCCAGUGGCUACUUUAGGAAAAGACCUCCCCCAGUGUUCCCAAUGGAAGUCCCAGCUUCUGCCACCCUCCUGGAGGAAAGCAAGCACCACAGAUCACACUCCUUGUCUCUGAACUGCUUCUUCACUUUGGUCUCUGUGGCUUGUCUCACAUGGCUUCUACUAUUCCACUAGACACUCCUGGCUCCUUUCCCUGGCUCCUUUUUGUCACCCUUCCACCAAAUGUGGGCCUUUCCCAAAUCAGGCUCCCCUCCCUGCCACAACCCUCCUUCCUCUCCUCUUUCCCUUCGCCACCAUCUCUCUCUCACUUUCCCCUCUCCAGCUCUCCUCAGAAAACUACCCUCAUGAAUUUAACUGCCAUUUUGAUAUUAUCAAUAAUUAUCUUUUAUUUUGUUUUUGAGAAAAGAUCUUGCUCAGGUUUGCUUUAAACCCACAAUGCAGCACUUUGCCUCCUUAGUGCUAUUAUUGCAAUAUGUACUACCACACCUGGAAGAUGUUACCAGUAAUUGUAAUAAAGAGAUUCUAACAUAGUUCUCUCUGUGUCACCGUCUCUGUCUCUCUCUGUCUCUCUGUCUUUCUCUGUCUCUGUCUCUGUCUCUCUCUCUGUCUCUCUCUCUCUGUCUCUCUCUCUCUGUCUCUCUCUCUCUCUCUCUCUCUCUCUCACACACACACACACACACACACAUACACAAAUACAUAUGCUCACUCCCCC
rnacentral:lncRNA from 1 species